UACAGAGGUCUCAAGCGUUGUUCGGAUUCAUUGGGCGUAAAGGGUGCGUAGGCGGCGCGGUAAGUCGGGUGUGAAAUCUCGGAGCUUAACUCCGAAACUGCAUUCGAUACUGCCGUGCUUGAGGACUGGAGAGGAGACUGGAAUUUACGGUGUAGCGGUGAAAUGCGUAGAUAUCGUGAGGAACACCUGUGGCGAAAGCGGCGCACUGGACCACAACUGACGCUGAGGCGCGAAAGCUAGGGGAGCAAACAGG
rnacentral:rRNA from 1 species